rnacentral:rRNA from 1 species
AGAGUUCCUGGCUCAGGAUGAACGCUGGCGGCGUGCCUAACACAUGCAAGUCGAACGGAGAUCAUUGGAAAUAAGCUUCGGCAGAAAGAAGGAUGAUCUAGUGGCGGACGGGUGAGUAACGCGUGGAGAACCUGCCCCGUACAGGGGGAUAACAUCCAGAAAUGGAUGCUAAAACCGCAUAAGCGCACAUGACCGCAUGGUCAAGUGUGAAAAAACUCCGGUGGUACAGGAUGGCUCCGCGUUGGAUUAGCCAGUUGGCGGGGUAACGGCCCACCAAAGCGACGAUCCAUAGCCGGCCUGAGAGGGUGAACGGCCACAUUGGGACUGAGACACGGCCCAGACUCCUACGGGAGGCAGCAGUGGGGAAUAUUGCACAAUGGGGGGAACCCUGAUGCAGCGACGCCGCGUGAAGGAAGAAGUAUUUCGGUAUGUAAACUUCUAUCAGCAGGGAAGAAAAUGACGGUACCUGACUAAGAAGCCCCGGCUAACUACGUGCCAGCCGCGGC